GUCUCCUCUAACCCGGUAUCAGUUCUCGGCGAUGCUGAAGAGAGCAUUGGUUGCGAGUGGCAUGGAUGGUCACGGGUUUUCGGCCCAUUCCUUUCGGAUCGGGGCGGCUACCCAGGCGAGUGUAUUGGGGUACUCGGCUGCGGGAAUUCAACGGAUUGGAAGAUGGGGGUCGGGGCGUUUUAAGUCUUAUGUCCGACCUCAUAUGCUGUAACCCUCUUCUCGUUGUAGGUGGUCGGCCCCGGUACGUGUGGAUUAUAGGGCAUUCCUAUGUGUACUGGGCAGCUAGGCGAGCUGAAGGCCGGGCCUAUGGACGGAAUUUGGGGUUUUUGUUGGACGUGGCCAGAGUCAGGUGGAAGGGC